AUUGAACGCUGGCGGCAGGCCUAACACAUGCAAGUCGAGCGGAUGAAGAGAGCUUGCUCUUGGAUUCAGCGGCGGACGGGUGAGUAAUGCCUAGGAAUCUGCCUGGUAGUGGGGGACAACGUCUCGAAAGGGACGCUAAUACCGCAUACGUCCUACGGGAGAAAGCAGGGGACCUUCGGGCCUUGCGCUAUCAGAUGAGCCUAGGUCGGAUUAGCUAGUUGGUGGGGUAAAGGCUCACCAAGGCGACGAUCCGUAACUGGUCUGAGAGGAUGAUCAGUCACACUGGAACUGAGACACGGUCCAGACUCCUACGGGAGGCAGCAGUGGGGAAUAUUGGACAAUGGGCGAAAGCCUGAUCCAGCCAUGCCGCGUGUGUGAAGAAGGUCUUCGGAUUGUAAAGCACUUUAAGUUGGGAGGAAGGGCCAUUAUCUAAUACAUGAUGGUUUUGACGUUACCGACAGAAUAAGCACCGGCUAACUCUGUGC
rnacentral:rRNA from 1 species